rnacentral:lncRNA from 1 species
AUGUUCAAGCUAGUUUUUAGAAAAGGCAGAGGAACCAGAGAUCAAAUUGCCAACAUCCACUGGAUCAUGGAAAAAGCAAGAGAGUUCCAGAAAAACAUCUAUUUCUGCUUUAUUGACUAUGCCAAAGCCUUUGACUGUGUGGAUCACAAUAAACUGUGGAAAAUUCUGAAAGAGAUGGGAAUACCAGACCACCUGACCUGGCUCUUGAGAAAUCUGUAUGCAGGUCAGGAAGCAACAGUUAGAACUGGACAUGGAACAACAGACUGGUUCCAAAUAGGAAAAGGAGUACAUCAAGGCUGUAUAUUGUCACCCUGCUUAUUUAAAUUCUAUGCAGAGUACAUCAUGAGAAACGCUGAACUGGAAGAAACACAAGCUGGAAUCAAGAUAGCCGGGAGAAAUAUCAAUAACCUCAGAUAUGCAGAUGACACCACCCUUAUGGCAGAAAGUGAAGAGGAGCUAAAAAGCCUCUUGAUGAAAGUGAAAGAGGAGAUUGAAAAAGUUGGCUUAAAGCUCAACAUUCAGAAAAUGAAGAUCAUGGCAUCUGGUCCCGUCACUUCAUGGGAAAUAGAUGGGGAAACGGUGGAAACAGUGUCAGACUUUAUUUUGGGGGACUCCAAAAUCACUGCAGAUGGUGACUUCAGCCAUGAAAUUAAAAGACGCUUACUCCUUGGAAGGAAAGUUAUGACCAACCUAGAUAGUAUAGUCAAAAGCAGAGACGUUACUUUGCCGACUAAGGUCCAUCUAGUCAAGGCUAUGGUUUUUCCUGUGGUCAUGUAUGGAUGUGAGAGUUGGACUGUGAAGAAAGCUGAGCACCGAAGCAUUGAUGCUUUUGAACUGUGGUGUUGGAGAAGACUCUUGAGAGUCCCAUGGACUGCAAGGAGAUCCAACCAGUCCAUUCUGAAGGAGAUCAACCCUGGGAUUUCUUUGGAAGGAAUGAUGCUAAAGCUGAAGCUCCAGUACUUUGGCCACCUCAUGCAACGAGUUGACUCAUUGGAAAAGACUUUGAUGCUGGGAGGGAUUAGGGGCAGGAGGAGAAGGGGACGACUGAGGAUGAGAUGGCUGGAUGGCAUCACUGACUCGAUGGACAUGAAUCUGAGUGAACUCCAGGAGUUGGUGAAGGACAGGGAGGCCUGGCGUGCUGUGAUUCAUGGGUUCACAAAGAGUCGGACACGACUGCACAACUGA